rnacentral:rRNA from 1 species
UCUACGGGUGGCAGCAGUGAGGAAUAUUGGUCAAUGGGCGAGAGCCUGAACCAGCCAAGUCGCGUGAGGGAAGACGGUCCUAUGGAUUGUAAACCUCUUUUGUCGGGGAGCAAAAAGGCCUCGUGAGGCCACAAGUGAGAGUACCCGAAGAAAAGGCAUCGGCUAACUCCGUGCCAGCAGCCGCGGUAAUACGGAGGAUGCGAGCGUUAUCCGGAUUUAUUGGGUUUAAAGGGUGCGCAGGCGGAGGUGCAAGUCAGCGGUCAGAUUGCGGGGCUCAACCCCGUACUGCCGUUGAAACUGCAGCCCUUGAGUGCGCGAGAAGUAUGCGGAAUGCGUGGUGUAGCGGUGAAAUGCAUAGAUAUCACGCAGAACUCCGAUUGCGAAGGCAGCAUACCGGCGCGCAACUGACGCUCAUGCACGAAAGCGUGGGUAUCGAACAGGAUUAGAUACCCCAGUAGUC